rnacentral:rRNA from 1 species
CUACGGGUCGCUGCAGUGGGGAAUAUUGCACAAUGGGCGCAAGCCUGAUGCAGCCAUGCCGCGUGUAUGAAGAAGGCCUUCGGGUUGUAAAGUACUUUCAGCGGGGAGGAAGGGAGUAAAGUUAAUACCUUUGCUCAUUGACGUUACCCGCAGAAGAAGCACCGGCUAACUCCGUGCCAGCAGCCGCGGUAAUACGGAGGGUGCAAGCGGUAAUCGGAAUUACUGGGCGUAAAGCGCACGCAGGCGGUUUGUUAAGUCAGAUGUGAAAUCCCCGGGCUCAACCUGGGAACUGCAUCUGAUACUGGCAAGCUUGAGUCUCGUAGAGGGGGGUAGAAUGCCAGGUGUAGCGGUGAAAUGCGUAGAGAUCUGGAGGAAUACCGGUGGCGAAGGCGGCCCCCUGGACGAAGACUGACGCUCAGGUGCGAAAGCGUGGGGAGCAAACAGGAUUAGAUACCCGCGUAGUC